GCGGAAGUGGUGGAAUUUGGUAGACACGUAGCGUUGAGGGCGCUAUGCUCGUUAGGGCGUGCCGGUUCAAGUCCGGCCUUCCGCACCA
rnacentral:tRNA from 1 species